AUACAAGAACGUCAUCGGGGUGUUCUUACUUCACAGAUGAGCCAGGAAAAAAGCAGUGCUAGCACAGUAAAACAGACCAAAAUCUGAAAGGAAAAUACUGCUUUAAAUCAUAGCAGUUGAUGUUCAUGUUGACUAUUAUAAUGAAACGUAUCGUUGAGCCAGGGAGAUAAACUUAACUAUGGACUGUAAAGGCUCUUUUCCACUCAUCGCAAAAACGAACUCGCAAGCACUCUGCGAG